AGUGGCUAAGUAGCCCAGGCUGGGCUCUUACUUAGAAUUCUCCCGCCUGAGCCUCCCCGCGUCCCGGGACUACAGGUGUGCAACCCCAACACUCGACUUGGAUUUGUGUCAAUUAUGACUUCAUAAAAUGGAUUGUCCCUGUUGCCAGUAAAUGGGUUGGCCCCCGACAGAAGCCAGCGGUCCUCUGCUUUCAUCACAGCCCUUCUUCCUGGAAGGCCAACAUCACCUUGAGCCACAGGAAGCAGCUGGCUAUCUCCCCACUGGAAUUCUUCCCAGUGGGACCAGCUGACCUGCCAAGGUCUCCCAAAGCAGAAGGUGUUGAUGGAGCGGGGAAGGGGAGCAGGUGGCCUCUUGGGAGACCCCCACACUGGGAACAGAGCAGGAGAGGGGUUAGGCACUGCCAGGGUGCCCAGCGAAGUCGGGACAGAGAGGUAUCAGAGGCAGAUCUGCUGCUGUGACAGUUAACAGCCAGGAUCACCACAGGGACUGCGUUGGCUAUAGAGAGCAGCUGACCUCUCCCUAUUCCAGGAGCCCACAGCAUAUGAAGCCAGAGUCGGGAGACAGGAGGCCCCAGCACUCACUAAGUACUGAUCUGGAAAGCUGGAGGGGAGACAGCCAGGCCUGGGCAGCCACUCUUCAGAGAAGAUAUCAUCAAGUACAAUUUGCCAAGGACGGAGGAGCCAGACUGGCUCUGCCCUGCCGCUGCUAGCUAAUCUAUGACACUCCGCAGGCGACAGGAGCCUCAGAUGCAACUUGCAGUAUGUCUGUGGCUGGGCUAGGGCCUUUGUAUCUUAAUCAUCCUGUUUAACCAUCAGAAGAAUCUUCUGAGAUAACGAUGACUGUCUCCACUUGACAUAAAAGAAAACUAAGGCUCAGAUAGGAGAAGUGAUUUGCUUAAUGUUUCGGAGCCAGUGAGUGACAAGGCAGUGUGUGAUCAUCAGUCUCCUGGGUCCAGGCCCAGUGUCCUCUGGCUGUUCCACAGCUUCCUUAUGGGUCGAGGCAGGGAGGCACCUUGGAGAGAAGCGGCGCUUGGUAUCUGUACCUUUGCCAACUCGAGAACCAUCAGGAAGGCUCAGAGCACCACUGCUUUCUCCUCCAGUGGCAACAGCCAGGGCUUGGCUGCGGAUGACUAUGCCAGUGUGAGGCUCCCUGCGGAGAGUGAGUUAGAGCUCUUAACCAGGUGGAGGGAGGGGGUUCUGCAUCACCAGAAUGCCAGAGAGAGGCCGAAACCCGAAAUGCUCACGGGAAAGGCCAUCUUGCAACUUCCAUGGCGGAAUGACAUAAAGAGUGCUGGGCAUGUGGGUCAGAGCGUCUCAGUCCUCACAGGCUCUGCCACCGUCUUUGUUACACGACCUAAGGCAUCGACUCUGGACUUCACUGUUCCUAUCUGUAAAAUGGGAGAGAAUACCUACUCCUGCACAGGCUUUGGAUAGAAGGGUGAGUCAGGCAACAGGGAUGGGAGCCAGCUACUGUACAGAGGAAGACUGACACAGAAGAAGCCGUACAUACUCAGCUACAGCCUGAUGAGUUUAGGGAUACAAAUACUCCUGUGAAACCACUGCCACUGUUGAGGCAACCCAUUACUUCUUUAAACACUCAGUUCUGGGGCUGGGGAUUUAGCUCAGCGGCAAAAGCGCCUGCCUGGCAAGCGCGAGGUCGUGA